GAUGAACGCUGGCGGCGUGCCUAAUACAUGCAAGUCGAGCGAACAGACGUGGAGCUUGCUCCUUUGACGUUAGCGGCGGACGGGUGAGUAACACGUGGAUAACCUACCUAUAAGACUGGGAUAACUUCGGGAAACCGGAGCUAAUACCGGAUAACAUGUUGAACCGCAUGGUUCAACAGUGAAAGACGGUUUUGCUGUCACUUAUAGAUGGAUCCGCGCCGCAUUAGCUAGUUGGUAAGGUAACGGCUUACCAAGGCAACGAUGCGUAGCCGACCUGAGAGGGUGAUCGGCCACACUGGAACUGAGACACGGUCCAGACUCCUACGGGAGGCAGCAGUAGGGAAUCUUCCGCAAUGGGCGAAAGCCUGACGGAGCAACGCCGCGUGAGUGAAGAAGGUCUUCGGAUCGUAAAACUCUGUUAUUAGGGAAGAACAAAUGUGUAAGUAACUAUGCACGUCUUGACGGUACCUAAUCAGAAAGCCACGGCUAACUACGUG
rnacentral:rRNA from 1 species